rnacentral:rRNA from 1 species
UACGUCGGGUGCAAGCGUUGUCCGGAAUUAUUGGGCGUAAAGAGCUUGUAGGCGGUUUGUCGCGUCUGCUGUGAAAUUUCGGGGCUCAACCCCGAACUUGCAGUGGGUACGGGCAGACUAGAGUGUGGUAGGGGAGACUGGAAUUCCUGGUGUAGCGGUGAAAUGCGCAGAUAUCAGGAGGAACACCGAUGGCGAAGGCAGGUCUCUGGGCCAUAACUGACGCUGAGAAGCGAAAGCAUGGGGAGCGAACAAG